UACGUAGGGCGCAAGCGUUGUCCGGAAUUAUUGGGCGUAAAGAGCUCGUAGGCGGCUUGUCACGUCGGGUGUGAAAGCCCGGGGCUUAACCCCGGGUCUGCAUUCGAUACGGGCAGGCUAGAGUGUGGUAGGGGAGAUCGGAAUUCCCGGUGUAGCGGUGAAAUGCGCAGAUAUCGGGAGGAACACCGGUGGUGAAGGCGGUUCUCUGGGCCUUACCUGACGCUGAGGAGCGAAAGCGUGGGGAGCGAACAGG
rnacentral:rRNA from 1 species